ACCAUGUUGACCAGGCUGGUCUUGAACCCCUGACCUCAAGUGAUCUGCCAACCUCAGCCUCCCGAAGUGAUGAGAUUACAGUCAUGAGCCACCAUGCCCGGCCUCCAUCUUUUACUUUCAGUCUAUCUGAAGCUUUAUAUUUAAGGGCAUUCUCAAUGAGUGUGAACAAAAAGUCAACAGCUUUCUUUCACCAUUUCACACAUCCUGAGCCUCCGUUGUUUUGAGUCAGUUGUCAUUCAUAUCUUUGUUCCCUGUGAAUGCACAAAAUUUGCUCUGUACAAUUGACUAUGAUGUGUCCAGCCAUUUCUUCUUGGUCCCUGGAUCCAUGUGUACUGCAUGACAUGGUACCACAAGUCACGGAGACUCACUUCCUUGUUUUCUUUCAGUUUCAUUUUCCCUUGUACUUCAGAUGGAAUGAUAUCUAUUGAUCUCUUUUCGAGUUCACUCACUCUUUCUUCUGUAAUGCUCAAUCUCUCUUAAGAAAGUCCAAAUAAAUUUUUCAUUUCAGAGUGGAAUUUUCAGUUCUAAA